GCCUGUCCAGCUCAGUUGGUAGAGCAUGUGACUCUUGAUCUCUUUUGAUCUCAGGGUUGUGAGUUUGAGUCCCAUGUCGGGUG
rnacentral:tRNA from 1 species